rnacentral:lncRNA from 1 species
UUUAUUCCCCAGUGAAGAGGGGAACGGAAUCACAAGACAUUAUUGAAAUGCCACAGAAUAACCUUACGUUCCUGAGGGAUGGUUUCAGGACGCAAAAGGCCAAAGCAUAAAGGAAGCCAAAACUACAUCUGUUUGCACAUGGACAAGAACCUCAGACUCCCUCAGCUCAAACACCUGACAUUCUAGCCAUUAAGGCAUUUCCUCCACACAAAAUAGGUUCCUACUGCAUGCUCCAGGGUACAGUGCACCCCGUGGUUGUCAGACAUCUUCUCCCGGGGGUGGGAGAUGCGGUGAGCAGAAGACAAAGGGAUGUGAUUUUAAACUAAUUCAAGUGAUCCUGAGGCUGAGAAGUUAUGUCUUCUAGUUACUGGCUCUCCCUUCUCUUCCAAGAAUGUUAGAAACACGGGGUACCACUUCAACAAGCCCUUCCAGUUUCUGACUUUGCUAAAAGUGCUUUUUCUCUGAGGCAGUGACAGGCCCCCAGGACUAAUGUUUCAAGAUUGGGUCCCCACUCCCCUCAGUGUUCACCUCCGCAGGACAACGUCUUCAUCUUAAUCACUCCUCUCUGAACCUCUCUUUUGUAACAGAACUGCCAAUGGCUGGAUGAAGUCCCUCACGUGGUGCUGGAACACCUCCAGCUUUAGGCCACAGAAUCAUGCUGAUCCUGCUCCCUCAGCAAGGCUCUGAAUUCCUUCCUGAGUAUGUUGUUGUAGUAGUAGUAGUAGUAGUUGUUGUUGUUGUUGUUCAGAUAUAAUCCUUAUUUUUGUGGUAGUGUCUGUGAUCGCUGGGUGAGCUGCUGCUCAGACACUCCCCUAGUGAGCCACACCCCAGCCCUGCACUGUGCUGACCCUCUCCUGCAUGCUGUUCACAGCCUUGCUCACUUCCCUGUGGCUUUAUGGCUGCUUCUCUCCUCUGGUCUGCUUUUCAUUGUCUUGUCUACAAGUUGUAUGACAUCUAAUGUAAAUGACUUCAUUUAAAGUUCCAGGUCAUUUAUAAAAAUCUGAAAUGGGGGGACUUCACCUGGUAAGGCUGUCUCCAGGAGAUGUCAGUCCCAAUUCUGUAAUGAGUCUCCUCAGUGGAGAAACCACAGUCCUGUAAGACGUGGCGUUCUGAAUCUUGCCUUAGUGAAGAGCAUGACUGACUCCUGCAAGUCUGAACAAAUGUGACCUCCUCCCUCCAUGAAUGGGUCCUGUUUGCUUCUCCUUCCAUCCCCUCAGCCACAACUAGGACUCCAGUGGCAUCACCAGCUCACAAAGGAUGGACCAUCUGCCAAGUCAAGCGGGUCCCGGUGCUGUGCUUCUACCCGGACAGCACACCACAAAGCCAGGCUUUGCCAGUCAGAAGCAAAGGGGGAAACUUCUAUAGGGCCAGAAGGAAACCUACAAGGACUUUGGUUUCGGUUUUGCUUAAGUUGAAAUCACAUGAUUUUAAAACGCCAUAGUAAUAGAGGGGAGUGAGGCAGCACACCGAGGAGGGUACAGCUAAGUUUAGCUUGGUCGGAGGCCUGACGGAAGCCCAUUUAGCUCCCAAUUACCAAGUGCUUAAGUCAGCACAGGCAGAGAGACGCAGCAAUCCUGGGAAAGCAGGGACAGAAAGAAAGUGACCGGUCAUGGACAGCUGUGAAAACAGCAACUGUAUACCCACCCAUCAUGCUCUUAGCUGAGCACUUGAGAGCAAGUGAGCACUCGGGUGCAGGUGAGCACUCAGGAGCAGCUGAGCACUCGGGUGCAGGUGAG